AUGCGGCGCUCCAGAACCUCUCCGUCUAGCAGCAGCAUGCCGGCGGCGCGCCGGACUGGUUCCUCAACACGGGCGCUACGUCGCACGUCGAAGGACCUAGCAACGGGGAAAAUAAUCAUGAGGUCCAAUAGCCAUGGCGACCUCUACCCCUUCUUCAGCAACUCCGGCGUGCAAGCGGCGCUCUCCGUCGUCUCCAAUGGCCUAUGGCAUCUUCGUUUGGGCCACGCUAGCAAUAAAGCAGUUUCUAUUAUAGCUCGUGAUUUCCUUCCAAACUGUAAUAAUGACAUGCCUAGCACCACUGUUUGUUCCUCAUGUAAACUAGGCAAGCAGCCACGGCUGCCUUUUCCCCAUUCUACUACCAAAACAAGUGCACCUUUCCAAUUAAUCCAUUGUGACUUGUGGACUUCGCCCGUCUCUAGUUUCUCGGGUUUUAUGUACUAUCUCGUGAUACUUGACGAUUACUCUCAUUACUCGUGGACAUUCCCGUUGCGCAACAAGUCCGACACCGCCGACACCAUCACUCGUUUCUUCAUGUACAUACUCACACAGUUUCACGUGACUAUCCAAUGCAUGCAAUGCGAUAACGGCGGAGAAUUCCUCACUUCCUCCUUGCGCGACCUCUUCUCUCGCCACGGCUCCUCUUUCCGUCUCUCGUGCCCACACACCUCUCCCCAAAAUGGGAAAGCCGAGCACCUCAUCCGCACCACCAACGACGUUCUUCGUGUUCUACUAAUCCAUGCACACCUCCCACCGCCAUUUUGGGUCGAAGCUCUCCACACCGCUACCUACAUUCUAAACCGGCGACCCUCCUCGGCCAUUAAUUUGUGA
rnacentral:rRNA from 1 species